rnacentral:rRNA from 1 species
GAUGAACGCUGGCGGCGUGCCUAAUACAUGCAAGUCGAGCGAACGGACGAGAAGCUUGCUUCUCUGAUGUUAGCGGCGGACGGGUGAGUAACACGUGGAUAACCUACCUAUAAGACUGGGAUAACUUCGGGAAACCGGAGCUAAUACCGGAUAAUAUUUUGAACCGCAUGGGUCAAAAGUGAAAGACGGUCUUGCUGGCACUUAUAGAUGGAUCCGCGCUGCAUUAGCUAGUUGGUAAGGUAACGGCUUACCAAGGCAACGAUGCAUAGCCGACCUGAGAGGGUGAUCGGCCACACUGGAACUGAGACACGGUCCAGACUCCUACGGGAGGCAGCAGUAGGGAAUCUUCCGCAAUGGGCGAAAGCAUGACGGAGCAACGCCGCGUGAGUGAUGAAGGUCUUCGGAUCGUAAAACUCUGUUAUUAGGGAAGAACAUAUGUGUACGUAACUGUGCACAUCUUGACGGUACCUAAUCAGAAAGCCACGGCUAACUACGUG